AACGAACGCUGGCGGCAGGCCUAACACAUGCAAGUCGAGCGAAGCCUUCGGGCUUAGCGGCGGACGGGUGAGUAACGCGUGGGAACGUGCCCUUUGCUACGGAAUAGCCCCGGGAAACUGGGUGUAAUACCGUAUGUGCCCUUCGGGGGAAAGAUUUAUCGGCAAAGGAUCGGCCCGCGUUGGAUUAGGUAGUUGGUGGGGUAAUGGCCUACCAAGCCGACGAUCCAUAGCUGGUUUGAGAGGAUGAUCAGCCACACUGGGACUGAGACACGGCCCAGACUCCUACGGGAGGCAGCAGUGGGGAAUCUUAGACAAUGGGCGGAAGCCUGAUCUAGCCAUGCCGCGUGAUCGAUGAAGGCCUUAGGGUUGUAAAGAUCUUUCAGGUGGGAAGAUAAUGACUGUACCACCAGAAGAAGCCCCGGCUAACUCCGUGCCAGCCGCCGCCGUAAUAC
rnacentral:rRNA from 1 species